GAAGGAUCAUUAUUGUCAAGUUACCUGAAGGAAGGGGGAUUGGUCGGCCAGAAUCUUAUAUUUCUUAACGGUACAGGCAGGGGAAAAAGAAAGAGCAUGUCAUUCCAAUCUAGCUUCUGAUCUGCCGACCUUACCAAGGUUUGACCGUAACCUUCAAUCUCAUUUGGUAGCUGUGCAUAAGCCAUCUUCUCCUCCAAUGGCAACUUAAAGAACUCUUGAGUGUCAAUCUUCAUUUUCUCAAUCAGUUCAUCUGCUAUCCCAUGAUUGAUUAACUGUUUCAACGUCAGUAAAGAUGAACUACUAAGUCCACUGAUGUAAAAAAAAGUUAUGGUUCUUUAAGAAUUCUGUUUAAAUUAGGUACCUGGAAGAAACCCCAGUCUUUGCAAGCCUGAUGGAGUUUUUUCUGUUCAUCAUCAUGAUCUAGUUUGCUCAUGUCAAUUACAGGAAACUGCUGGGAUUCAUCUAUGGAAACUAUAAAUUCGACCUCAGGUCUGAUAUAUCUGGAUGGGAUGUUCUUCAGGUUCUUGGAUGCAAGUGCUUGGACACUAUCAACAGGUAAAGAACCAGCAAAUCCUCUGCUCACCACCUUUGUGUCCAUUUCUAUCUGAGAAAUUUUUUUAUCUGUUUAUAUGCUAAAUGCUACUCUAAUAUGAUACAUCAUUUUAUUAUCCAUCAUUUCUAAUUUCUAUAAUGCACCUUGCACAAAUUCCACUUGAUAAAAAGGAAAGGCCAUAAAGAUUAAUUGCACAGCAAUUGGCUAAUCACAAAGAUAUAAUACAAUUAACUUUUUCAUUAAACAAUUUCUUAGUAGGUCUCUUGAUGGCCCUAGUUUGUCAUUUCUUGAGCAAACCUAAGGUCUAAGGGUUAAGAAACCUACCAUUCUUUCUGAUUUCUCCUUCAAUUUCAUUGAGUACACUAUUUCACCAUUGUAACACUUGAUUUGUGAAAUGAACAAAAUGAAAGUUCUUGAUUAGAUGCAAAAGCCCAAACCAGCUUUUAUUAUCUCCCCUAAGGGGCGUAGCUAGGGCCAUAGUUAGGGGAGUGAUAGGUGCCUCAACCCGGAAAAAAAAAUUACUUUGACCUUUUAAAACUUUAAAAAUAAAAUUAUACUUUGGUCCUUCCUAAAAAUGAUCAAAGUUUAAUUUAAUCCUUAAAAGAUAUAGACAAUUAAAAUAUUCGUAAAAAUUACAAUUUAAUUUCAGUCCUCUUAACAAAUUUUCUAGCUUCGCCCUGCUCGCCUUCAUGGUCUAUUGUAACUUUAACACUAUUGGAUCAUAACAAUCCAUUUCCUUAAAAAUGUUAACAAGGACAAAGAGCUGAUAAAGUGAACUAAGAUUUUGAACUAGAUCUUCAUUUGAUUCAACAGAUGUUUCCCAUCAAGCUUGCUGCUCAGCUUCAAGUUCAGGAACUCCUCAGCUGGUAUAGUAUUAUAUAGUGCUUUGUUGGUCUUAAGAAGAUCUGGCAAAGGGCCAAUCUGGGCAUUCUUGUUUCCAUAGUGAAGUGCUGCAAUUGAC
rnacentral:lncRNA from 1 species